GAUGAACGCUGGCGGCGUGCCUAAUACAUGCAAGUCGGGCGAACGGACGAGAAGCUUGCUUCUCUGAUGUUAGCGGCGGACGGGUGAGUAACACGUGGAUAACCUACCUAUAAGACUGGGAUAACUUCGGGAAACCGGAGCUAAUACCGGAUAAUAUUUUGAACCGCAUGGUUCAAAAGUGAAAGACGGUCUUGCUGUCACUUAUAGAUGGAUCCGCGCUGCAUUAGCUAGUUGGUAAGGUAACGGCUUACCAAGGCAACGAUGCAUAGCCGACCUGAGAGGGUGGUCGGCCACACUGGAACUGAGACACGGUCCAGACGCCUAAGGGAGGCAGCAGUAGGGAAUCUUCCGCAGUGGGCGAAAGCCUGACGGAGCAACGCCGCGUGAGUUAUGAAGGUCUUCGGAUCGUAAAACUCUGUUAUUAGGGAAGAACAUAUGUGUAAGUAACUGUGCACAUCUUGACGGUACCUAAUCAGAAAGCCACGGCUAACUACGUG
rnacentral:rRNA from 1 species